AAUUUGAAAUCUGGAAGUACACCAUCAUGGCGGAUCUAAAGAGAUAUUGGUGUGACUGGGCUCUAGGUCCACUCUCUGAAAAUCCAAGAAUGAGUCAGCAGCAGAUAUUUUCUCCCAUUCUUUGGAUUCCUCUCCUCUUCCUACUCAUGGGUAAGUUCUGCUUGCUACACGCGGUCUCUGAGGUUGGGCUUCUGCCCGGAAGAUAGAUUCUUGUGGUAAAAUCAGGAAAUUACCUUCCUUAGGGCUCGGAGCCUCUGGAAAGGAAACACCUCCAACAGUGAUAUCAGGGAUGCUAGGGGGUUCUGUGACUUUCUCCCUAAACAUCUCAAAGGAUGCAGAGAUUGAGCAUAUCAUCUGGAAUUGUCCCCCAAAGGCUCUUGCUUUAGUAUUCUACAAAAAAGAUAUAACUAUUCUGGACAAAGGAUAUAAUGGCAGACUCAAAGUCAGCGAAGAUGGCUACUCCUUGUACAUGAGCAACCUAACCAAAAGUGAUUCAGGAUCCUACCAUGCUCAGAUAAACCAAAAGAAUGUUAUCCUCACCACAAAUAAAGAGUUCACACUGCACAUCUAUGAGAAGCUCCAGAAGCCUCAGAUCAUCGUGGAAUCUGUGACCCCAUCCGAUACUGAUUCCUGCACCUUCACCCUAAUCUGCACUGUAAAGGGGACAAAGGACAGUGUCCAGUACAGCUGGACCCGAGAGGACACCCAUUUAAAUACAUACGAUGGAAGCCACACCCUCAGGGUUUCCCAGAGUGUCUGUGACCCCGACCUACCCUAUACCUGCAAAGCCUGGAAUCCAGUCAGCCAAAACAGCUCCCAACCUGUCCGCAUCUGGCAAUUCUGCACAGGAGCCUCCAGAAGAAAAACAGCAGCGGGGAAGACUGUGGUAGGAAUCCUGGGAGAGCCAGUGACCCUGCCCUUGGAAUUUCGGGCCACUCGGGCCACAAAGAAUGUUGUCUGGGUGUUUAACACGUCGGUUAUCAGCCAAGAACGGAGAGGAGCAGCAACAGCGGAUUCUCGCCGUAAGCCCAAAGGUUCUGAAGAACGGAGGGUGAGGACCUCUGACCAGGACCAAUCCCUGAAGAUCAGCCAGCUGAAGAUGGAGGACGCGGGCCCCUACCAUGCCUAUGUGUGCUCAGAGGCCUCCCGAGACCCCAGUGUGAGACAUUUCACCUUGCUUGUCUACAAGAGACUGGAGAAGCCCAGUGUCACCAAGAGUCCUGUGCACAUGAUGAACGGAAUCUGCGAGGUUGUCCUGACCUGUUCAGUGGACGGUGGUGGAAACAAUGUGACAUACACAUGGAUGCCUCUACAAAACAAAGCUGUCAUGUCCCAAGGGAAGUCGCACCUCAACGUCUCCUGGGAAAGUGGUGAACACCUGCCCAACUUCACAUGCACAGCCCAUAACCCUGUCAGCAACAGCUCCAGCCAGUUUUCUUCUGGGACCAUCUGUUCAGGCCCUGAGAGAAACAAGAGGUUUUGGCUCCUGCUCCUCCUGGUUUUGCUCUUGUUGAUGCUCAUUGGCGGUUACUUCAUUUUGAGGAAAAAGAAGCAGUGUUCGUCUUUGGCCACCAGGUACAGACAAGCGGAGGUCCCAGCUGAAAUACCAGAAACCCCAACUGGCCAUGGACAAUUUUCUGUGCUCUCCCAACGGUAUGAGAAACUAGACAUGUCUGCUAAGACCACCAGGCAUCAGCCUACACCCACCUCAGAUACCAGCUCUGAGAGCAGCGCAACAACAGAAGAGGAUGACGAAAAGACCAGAAUGCACAGCACUGCUAAUAGUAGAAAUCAGGUGUAUGACUUGGUCACCCAUCAGGACAUUGCACAUGCCUUGGCCUAUGAGGGGCAAGUAGAAUAUGAAGCAAUCACUCCAUAUGAUAAAGUGGAUGGGUCUAUGGAUGAAGAGGACAUGGCAUAUAUACAAGUGUCCCUGAAUGUGCAGGGAGAGACCCCACUUCCUCAGAAGAAAGAAGACUCAAAUACAAUCUACUGCUCUGUGCAGAAGCCUAAAAAGACGGCACAAACACCACAGCAAGAUGCUGAGUCUCCUGAAACCCCUACCUAUGAAAAUUUCACCUGAAGGGAAAAGCGGCUGCUACUUCCGGGGUGAGGAUUUGGAGAAAAACAGACAUCAUAAAUCCUCCUGUUUCUGCAGAAAGAACACAUCAGAAUUUCCUGCCAUGGCUUAGACUAGCCUGAAUUUGAUGCCUUCCUCUUCUUGUCAUCCUCCUUACCCCAUGAGCCCAUUCACAGGUCAGGCAGAGUCUCCUUGGAGCCUACAGGCUUUGAACACCCUGCCUUUGGAUCUCUUUUUCUUAUCUGGACUGCCUUGUCUGCCUCAGUGGGGGAGGAUGCACUUAGUCCUGUUGGGACUUGAUGUGCCAGGGUGGGUUGGUACCGUCUCUGAGGAGAAGGGGAGAUGGGAAUUGGGGGAGGGAUGUGAGGGAGGGAUGGGAGGCCUGUGGUCAAUAUGUAAAGUGAAUAAAUAAACUAAUAAAGAAAAAAAUUAAAAAAAAUAAAGCCCCUCAUAAGUUCA